GUCACUCUGGUGGCCUAGUGGUUAAAACAUCCACCUUGGAUGUAGGAGGUCAUGGAUUCAAACCCUGUCUGAGACA